rnacentral:rRNA from 1 species
GAGUUUGAUCCUGGCUCAGGACGAACGCUGGCGGCACGCCUAACACAUGCAAGUCGAACGGAGAUAUUUUGGUUUACUGAGAUAUCUUAGUGGCGGACGGGUGAGUAACACGUGAGCAACCUGCCUCUGAGAGAGGGAUAGCUUCUGGAAACGGAUGGUAAUACCUCAUAACAUAACGAAGCCGCAUGACUUUGUUAUCAAAGAUUUAUCACUCAGAGAUGGGCUCGCGUCUGAUUAAAUAGUUGGUGAGGUAACGGCUCACCAAGUCGACGAUCAGUAGCCGGACUGAGAGGUUGAACGGCCACAUUGGGACUGAGACACGGCCCAGACUCCUACGGGAGGCAGCAGUGGGGAAUAUUGCACAAUGGGGGAAACCCUGAUGCAGCGAUGCCGCGUGGAGGAAGAAGGUUUUCGGAUUGUAAACUCCUGUCUAAAGGACGAUAAUGACGUACUUAGAGAUUGCKGC